AUCCCUGUGAGAAUGCCCUACUUAUUUCCCCCACGAAAUAAAGGAGCAGGUAUUAGGCACAACUUCAGUUAGCCCACAACGCCUUGCUUAGCCACACCCCUAAGGGAACUCAGCAGUAAUAAACAUUAAGCAAUGAGUGUAAACUUGACUUAGUUAAAACCAAGAGGGCCGGUAAAACUCGUGCCAGCCACCGCGGUUAUACGAGAGGCCCAAGUUGACAAAUGCCGGCGUAAAAUGUGGUUUAUACAGUAUUGCACUAAAGCUAAACUUCUUCAAAGCUGUCAUACGCACUCGAAGAAAAGAGGACCUUCCACGAAAGUGGCUUUAAAUAAUAUUAACCCACGAAAGCUAGGAAACAAACUGGGAUUAGAUACCCCACUAUGCCUAGCCCUAAACACAAGUGACUACUUACACCCCUCGCUUGCCAGGGAACUACGAGCCCCAGCUUAAAACCCAAAGGACUUGGCGGUGCUUUAGACCCACCUAGAGGAGCCUGUUCUAGAACCGAUAACCCCCGUUAAACCUCACCCUCCCUUGUCACUCCC
rnacentral:rRNA from 1 species